rnacentral:rRNA from 1 species
CGGCCGCGGUAUCCUGACCGUGCAAAGGUAGCAUAAUCAUUUGUUCCUUAAUUAGGGACUUGUAUGAAUGGCCCCACGAGGGUUUAACUGUCUCUUACUUUUAAUCAGUGAAAUUGACCUUCCCGUGAAGAGGCGGGAAUAUAUAAAUAAGACGAGAAGACCCUAUGGAGCUUAAAUUAAUCCAUGGACAACAAAUUUUGGUUGGGGUGACCUCGGAGUAUAACAAAACCUCCGAGAGAUAACCAAGACUUACCCGUCAAAGUCAAUCAUAUUGAUCAACGAAACAAGUUACCCUAGGGAUAACAGCGCAAUCCUAUUUAAGAGUUCAUAUCGACAAUAGGGUUUACGACCUCGAUGUUGGAUCAGGACAUCCAAAUGGUGCAACAGCU